rnacentral:rRNA from 1 species
CGGGAAGAGCUCAAAUUUGUAAUCUGGCACUUUCAGUGUCCGAGUUGUAAUCUCGAGAAGUGUUUUCCGCGCUGGACCGCAUAUAAGUCUGUUGGAAUACAGCGUCAUAGUGGUGAGAACCCCGUAAAUGAUGCGGACGCCCAGUGCUUUGUGAUACACUUUCGAA